UACGGAGGGUGCGAGCGUUGUCCGGAAUCACUGGGCGUAAAGGGCUCGUAGGCGGCCAACUAAGUCAUACGUGAAAUCCCUCGGCUUAACCGGGGAACUGCGUCUGAUACUGGAUGGCUUGAGUUCGGGAGAGGGAUGCGGAAUUCCAGGUGUAGCGGUGAAAUGCGUAGAUAUCUGGAGGAACACCGGUGGCGAAGGCGGCAUCCUGGACCGAUACUGACGCUGAGGAGCGAAAGCCAGGGGAGCGAACGGG
rnacentral:rRNA from 1 species